rnacentral:lncRNA from 1 species
CAGCUGCACCUUCCCCGUACUGCUCGACUACUAGAGAUUUCCACAUGACGUCAGCGGGUAGAACGGUUUCUGAUCCGUAGACCAGGAAAUAGGGUGAGUACCCCAUAGGCUUGCACGGCUAUGUGUGAAGCCCACAGAGGACAUUGGUGAUGAGGACACCACGAGUACAUCUACACCAGCAGCACCUCAGGCGCCUCCAGUUGCUCCUCCACCUCAGGCGCCUACAGUUGCUCAUCCAGUUGGGCCAGUCACUCGAGCCCGUGCGAGAGAAUUAAACUUCAUCAUGCUGUUAAGGAACGAAGGCCCAUCGGAAUAAGAAGAUGGCCCAACAGGGCAGCCCAGGUGGGGCGCCUAGGGUUGGGCGCCGUGACCCCUUCGGACUCCAGGGGCUGCGCCCCCUUUAUUUAGUCCGAGUCCUUUUUGUUUACGACUUGAGUUUUGUUUUACAUCUAGCUUUAGCUACUCUUGAACACGCGCAAAUACGCGCUGUCCUUGUGAUUCAGAACUCCACUUUCGAGUGAUAUUUAGAUUGCUCGCCUCUUGUUCUUGUUCGUUCUUCGAUUGCGGACAGGAAUCGAUCUUCGUGAUCAGGCUGAUCUCGCACCGGCGAGGUUGGUAACCAUCGGGAGUUGGUUCAGCGAUUGCAUUGGCGCUUCGGGUUCGCUCGUCGUAGUCGGAUCGUGAGGGUCUACUUCCACCAAGUCGAAUUUAUCUCCACUCACCGAAAGAUCGGGCACUCCGACUCUAUCAAGUGGUAUCAGCUUUCCAGGUUGAUCGGUGAGUUUUACCGAGUGUUUUUCCCUUCCUACAGUCCACAAAAACCAAAACAAAUUUUUUUCAGGUUCGAUCCUUUGUCCCAGCAACCGUUUAGCCUCGCACAUUCUUUCAAUAAGUGUCUUUGUUGAAUUUGUGUGCCUACUCGUUCAAUUGUUGCUGGUUACUUGUGUUUAAUCUCUUGUUUCUCGUUUUUCAUCUAACCCUAGUUUUCGCCGCCGCCGCCGUUCCGCUGCUCGCCAACCCUAGCAGCCGCGCCCACCGCAACUCCCCCCGCGACAACCGCGCCGCACCAUUCCACUACUCCGAUCGCCCCUCCCCUGUCAACAAAAAAAAAAAAAGAUCGAAAGCAAUCAGAAAAAAAAAAGGAAAGUGCAAAAAAAAAAAGGAAAGAACCAAAAAAAAAAAAAGACGAAGAAGAAUCCAACAGGGAGAAGGAAGGUGAUUCGGAUUUGUUUCGUUGGAACCUCCCUUUGCGCGCGCCGUGACUCCUCCUGGGUCACGACUCUCUGGGGUAAAUUCCUCCCCCCCCCACGCAUUCCGUGCCAGCCUUUCAAAUCCAUAUCUCUCUUUCUUGGUCCUUUAUUAUUCUGCGGUCCGCCUUACUCUAGAGAGAGAGAGAGAGAGAGUAUCUUUUUUUUACCGGAAUACCCCUGUACUUUCGGAAAAAGUGUGUGCCGCAAUUUGAUAUUUGAGAUCCUCUGUGUUCAUAUUAUCAGUUUUGGGGCACCCUCUGUGAAAAAAAAAAAACAGAAAUAAAAAAAAAAAAAAAAGAGAGGUGCGCCCUCUCCACCUUGCCUCUGUUCUUUCGAUUUUUCCUUGUUACCAGCAACUCUUGUUACGUGUUUGGCACUAUCUUUCAACUUUGCAUUAUUGUUUGAUUGUGCUAAUCCUUCAUUUGAGUGCAGCCUCCCCAGAACUCCACAUAGUUCUACGACGAGCAUAUUUUGUUUCUCCAGGCAAUCGCUCCUCCAAUCUUUCGUGAGUUCCACCGGUUGGUUGCAGUUCGCCCCUGUGUGCGUGGUAAGAACGGAUAAGAAUUUGAUAACAGCACUAGUGUGAGCGCCUUGUGAGCUGUUACACCCCUAUUUUGUUGUCGCUUGUGUUCUUGUCUUUGCGCUAACCAUGGCAGAUGAUGUCGACGCGGGGGCUGACCAGCUGCAGGGCAUACGGGCGCAAGUUGAAGGGCUUGUCACCGACAUUCAGACGAUUCAUGAACGGCUGGACUCGACGAUCUCCUCGACGACCGAGCGGUGUGAUCAGCUCGACCUUGCACAGACGGCCGCUAAGGCCACACUCGACUCAGUUGUGGCAAGACUCGAUGCAUUGCACACUACAGUCGCAGAGUUGCAGCAGGGUUAUGGUGGUGACUCGGACCAGGACGAUGGCGACCGCCGUGGCCGUGCCCGCCGCGUGCCACGCCGUCCCAGUGGUAAUGAUUCCUUUUCCAAGAUUAAAUUUAAAAUUCCACCUUUUAAUGGCAAAUAUGAUCCUGCUGCAUAUCUUGAUUGGGAAUUAGAAGUUGAACAGAAAUUUUCAUGCCAUGAUAUUCUUGCUAAUUCUCAAGUUAAAGCUGCUAUUAGUGAAUUUACUGAUUUUGCUUUAAUCUGGUGGCGUGAAUAUAAACACAAACAUCCCAAUACCAUUCCAACCACUUGGGAGCAAUUAAAAACUGCUAUGCGCCACAGAUUUGUGCCUUCUUAUUAUGCUCGCGAUUUGCUUAAUAAAAUGCAACGUUUUCAGCAAGGUUCCAAAUCUGUUGAGGAAUAUUUCCAGGAAUUACAAAUAGGCAUGAUUCGUUGUGGAUUAUUGGAGGAAAACGACGCUGCUAUGGCACGUUUUCGUGGUGGUUUGAACCGCGAAAUUCAGGAUAUACUUGAUUAUAAGGACUACACAGAUAUGACAACAUUAUUUGAAUAUGCUUGCAAAGCUGAACGUGAAGUGCAGGGACGCCGCUCGAAGACAUAUUCUAACUCUUUUGCAGGACGAAGCUCGACAUCCAACUCCGUACCCGCUCUCCCUGCGCCACCCACGCCCACCACUACACCGCGCGAGCGAACGGCCAAACCUGCAAGCGCUCCCCCUUCCACGGGCGCCGCCCCUCCCACAGGCCGUACACGGGAUAUUCAGUGUCAUCGUUGCAAAGGAUUUGGCCAUGUGAUUCGGGACUGUCCGAACAAGCGUACUUUGCUUCUUCGUGAUGAUGGUGAGUACUCUUCCGCUAGUGAUUCUGAAGAUACUCGACAUGCGAUGCUUGCCACUGACCAUGCAGCUAUGGAGGUACAUGUCAACCCGGGCGACGCCGAUAGGUAUGAAAGCCUUGUUGUGCAGCGUGUUCUUAGUACGCAGGUUGCCCCGUCCGAGAAGAAUCAGCGACACACUCUUUUCCAUACCAAGGGCGUUGUGCAGGAGCGGUCGAUUCGCAUCAUCAUCGACAGCGGCAGCUGCAACAAUUUGGCGAGUACCACGCUGGUUGAAAAGUUGUCUUUACCCACUCGUAAGCAUCCACAUCCAUAUCACAUUCAAUGGCUUAAUGAUGGUGGGAAAAUUAGAAUUACUCAAUCAGUCCGUGUUCCUUUCUCCAUGGGUGCUUAUUCUGAUUUUGUCGAUUGUGAUGUUAUUCCCAUGGAAGCAUGCUCUCUGUUACUUGGGCGACCUUGGCAAUAUGAUACUGAUAGCUUGCAUCAUGGUCGUUCAAAUCACUAUUCUUUCAUGUUUAAGGGUCAGAAAAUAAUUAUACAUCCAAUGACACCUGAACAAAUUCUUAAAGAUGAUCUUGCUAGAGCUGCUAAAACUGCUAAACAACUUGAACCAUCGACAUCUAUUAAUUCUGAAAUCAAGUUGAAUGCUCCUGUUUUGCUUGCCACACGUGCUGAUUUUGAUGAGUUACGCGAUGCUCCUUUGCCAUGCUAUGCCCUUAUAUGCUCUAGUGUGCUCGUUUCACUUGAUGAUGCACCAUCUUUGGAUAUUCCCCCUGCGGUUGCUAACAUUUUGCAGGAGUACGCUGAUGUCUUUCCAAAAGAUUUGCCUCCGGGACUUCCACCACUUCGUGGCAUUGAGCACCAGAUCGACCUCAUUCCCGGCGCACAGCUUCCGAACCGUGCACCGUACCGUACAAAUCCGGAUGAGACGAAGGAAAUCCAGCGCCAGGUACAGGCGUUGCUUGACAAGGGUUAUAUUCGUGAGUCUCUUAGCCCUUGCUCCGUUCCUGUGUUACUUGUUCCAAAGAAAGAUGGCUCAUGGCGUAUGUGUGUAGACUGUCGUGCUAUUAAUAACAUUACCAUUCGCUACCGAUACCCUAUACCACGCCUUGAUGAUAUGCUAGAUGAGCUUAGUGGUGCCAUUAUUUUCACUAAGAUUGAUUUGCGUAGUGGCUACCAUCAGAUUCGCAUGAAAUUAGGUGAUGAAUGGAAAACGGCUUUUAAAACGAAAUUUGGGUUAUAUGAAUGGUUGGUUAUGCCGUUUGGUUUGACAAAUGCUCCCAGCACAUUUAUGCGUUUGAUGAAUGAAGUUCUGAGGCCCUUCAUAGGAUUGUUUGUAGUUGUCUAUUUUGAUGAUAUCCUCAUUUACAGCAAGUCUAUGGAAGAGCAUUUAGAACAUUUGCGUGCUGUUUUUGAUGCAUUGCGUGCGGCCCAUUUAUUUGCUAACCUCGAAAAAUGCAUGUUUUGCACACAACGUGUCUCGUUUCUUGGCUAUGUUGUUACUCCACAGGGCAUUGAGGUGGAUAGCAGCAAGAUUGAUGCCAUUCGGGAGUGGCCUACACCGACAACGGUCACACAAAUUCGAAGCUUUCUUGGCCUCGCAGGUUUCUACCGCCGGUUUGUUCGUGAUUUUAGCUCCAUUGCAGCGCCUCUACAUGAGCUUACAAAGAAGGAUGUUCCCUUUGCUUGGAGUGAUUCGCAAGAGGUUGCGUUCAGCACCUUGAAAGAUAAGUUAACCAAUGCUCCUCUCUUGCAGUUGCCUGAUUUUACUAAAGUGUUUGAGCUUGAAUGCGAUGCUAGCGGUAUUGGGCUAGGUGCUGUUUUGUUACAAGAAGGAAAACCGGUUGCUUACUUUAGUGAGAAAUUAAGUGGUGCUAGCUUGAAUUAUUCUACUUAUGAUAAGGAGCUUUAUGCUUUAGUGCGCACUUUGCAUACUUGGCAGCACUACCUUUGGCAUCGCGAGUUUAUAAUUCAUUCUGAUCAUGAGGCUUUAAAACAUAUUCGUACCCAAACAAACCUGAACCGUCGUCAUGCUAAAUGGGUAGAAUUCAUUGAGUCUUUCCCUUACAUUAUUAAACACAAGAGCGGGAAGGAAAAUGUCAUUGCUGAUGCUUUGUCUCGUCGCUAUACCAUGCUGUCACAGUUAGAUUUUAAAAUCUUUGGCUUGCAAACUGUGAAGGAUCAAUAUGUGGAUGAUGCUGAUUUUAAAGAUGCUUUCGCCCACUGUAUUCAUGGCAAACCAUGGGGCAAAUUUCACAUACAGGACGGGUUCCUGUUUCGCGCUAACAAGCUGUGUGUUCCAGCUAGCUCGGUUCGUCGUUUGUUGUUACAGGAAGCGCAUGGAGGCGGUCUCAUGGGGCACUUUGGCGUCUACAAGACGCAUGAAGUGCUGGCUGCCCACUUCUUUUGGCCCCGGAUGCGCGCUGAUGUUGAGCGCCUUGUUGCCCGCUGCAUUACUUGCCAGAAAGCUAAGUCACGAUUAAACAACCAUGGUUUGUACAUGCCUUUGCCUGUUCCUACUUCCCCUUGGCUUGAUAUUUCUAUGGACUUUGUUUUGGGAUUGCCUAGAACUAAGAAGGGGAGGGACAGUAUUUUUGUGGUUGUUGAUCGUUUCUCCAAAAUGGCUCAUUUUAUACCUUGUCAUAAGACUGAUGAUGCUAGCAAUGUUGCUGACUUGUUCUUUCGCGAGAUUAUUCGUUUGCAUGGUAUUCCAAAUACAAUAGUCUCUGAUCGUGAUGCUAAGUUUCUCAGUCAUUUUUGGAGAUCACUAUGGAAUAAAAUGGGAACUAAAUUGCUGUUUAGCACCACUUGUCACCCUCAGACUGAUGGACAAACUGAGGUGGUUAAUCGAACCUUGUCCACCAUGCUUAGGGCUGUUUUAGAUAAACACUUGAAACGUUGGGAAGAUUGCUUGCCUCAUGUUGAGUUUGCUUAUAAUCAUGCAACGCAUUCUUCUACAAAGAUGUGUCCUUUUCAAGUUGUUUAUGGUUAUAUUCCUCGGGCGCCUAUUGAUUUGUUUGCACUUGAUGCCGAGGACACCCCACACAUAGAUGCCGCUGCACAUGUUGAUCAAAUGAUUAGCUUGCAUGAGCAAACUCAACAAAACAUUGCUGCUGCUAAUGCUAAAUAUCAGGUUGCGGGUAGUAAAGGGAGAAAACAUGUUACUUUUGCACCGGGUGAUCUGGUUUGGUUGCAUUUGAGGAAGGAUCGUUUUCCUACCUUACGUCGUUCUAAAUUGAUGCCACGUGCUGCUGGUCCUUUUAAAGUGCUAACCAAGAUUAAUGAUAAUGCUUAUAUCCUUGACCUGCCUGCGGAGUUUGGUGUUUCCACGAGUUUUAAUGUUGCAGAUUUGAAACCGUAUGUGGGCGAAGAUGAGGAGUUGCCGUCGAGGACGACUUCAGUUCAAGAAGGGGAGGAUGAUGAGGACACCACGAGUACAUCUACACCAGCAGCACCUCAGGCGCCUCCAGUUGCUCCUCCACCUCAGGCGCCUACAGUUGCUCAUCCAGUUGGGCCAGUCACUCGAGCCCGUGCGAGAGAAUUAAACUUCAUCAUGCUGUUAAGGAACGAAGGCCCAUCGGAAUAAGAAGAUGGCCCAACAGGGCAGCCCAGGUGGGGCGCCUAGGGUUGGGCGCCGUGACCCCUUCGGACUCCAGGGGCUGCGCCCCCUUUAUUUAGUCCGAGUCCUUUUUGUUUACGACUUGAGUUUUGUUUUACAUCUAGCUUUAGCUACUCUUGAACACGCGCAAAUACGCGCUGUCCUUGUGAUUCAGAACUCCACUUUCGAGUGAUAUUUAGAUUGCUCGCCUCUUGUUCUUGUUCGUUCUUCGAUUGCGGACAGGAAUCGAUCUUCGUGAUCAGGCUGAUCUCGCACCGGCGAGGUUGGUAACCAUCGGGAGUUGGUUCAGCGAUUGCAUUGGCGCUUCGGGUUCGCUCGUCGUAGUCGGAUCGUGAGGGUCUACUUCCA